UGUUCAAAGAUGCAGGUGAAAAAACUGUAUGAGCACAAUUCCUUAUGAAUGUGUUGACAAGAUAAAGAUGGAAUAUUGUGCAACAUAGCAAUGGAAGCGUAUGCGCUGCCAAAGGCACAGGGUUAUUACUUCCCGUUGCCUUUAAGGAACUAUUGGUGACACUUAGUUUUAACUUGCAAAUAGUGUUUCCUCUCCAACCAAUCACGUGAAUUUCAUGAAAUGCAGUCUUCCCAUUUCGCAAUGUUUAGAUUGUUGAAAGCAAGUGAAGGCGUGACUAUGCAGGAGUGCAAUGCUUUCAAGACCAAAGGAAGCAAUUUCAAAGCAACAGAGGAGGCGGCAAAAACAAGCUCUCGGUUAGCAUCCCCUGCAAGCAAAUGCCAUUUAGGGCUGAGGCCAAUGCGAUGUGGAGGUGCGCACAUGUAGCUUUUGUGGGUUUUAUCUGGAGAAAUAGAGUCUGUAGACAGAUGGCCUCUAGGGUUUUCAUUUGCGGCAUGCAGGGCGGAGGACCGUCGAUGCACAGGUGGGAAAGGACGGCGACAAUAUUAUUAAUAAAGGCAUGAAGCAAAUUCUUUAGCAUUCACCUGUUCUGGAGCACUACGUCCAUCACCGAAUCUGUAGCGGAAUCUUUUCUGUUUUGGUAUUUUCAGAAACCUCUUGAGCAAAAUGUGUGUAUAUGUUUUUUUUCUACUUGUUGGCAUCGGUUUCUCUGUUCUAUCUUUUUUAAAAAGGGUUGUGGUUGGCGUCAGUGGUCAGGGUUUUAGGUCCUUAAUAAUAUUUAUAAUACCUGCUUUUCCCUAUAUUGAUUGAGUUUAGAUUUCUGCAGCAAAUAAGACAUUGUACUGGAGAACUUUAGAGUUUAUAGUUAUGGCGGCUGAUACAGAUCCUAGUACCAUUCUGGUCCUUUGAUCCCAUUGGCCAAAGAUAACGUAUUGAAUUUUUCUCUCCUUGUGUACCAUUUUGAAUUUCGACAUUAUUGCAACUUUUUAAGAUAUCAGUUUGGCUUUGCAACUUUUAGAGGUUUAGCUCCGUGUGGUAUGCAAUACCUAAAUAAAACCUUAAUUCAACGAGAAUCUUCCCUUCAAUCGUCUCUCAUAUGUUCUAACAGAUUACUAGCAAUCUUUACAUCAUGAAGAUGUUGCAUAGGUGAAAUCAUGGAGAUUGGAAUGAAUAAAAUGAGCACGAUUUGAACUGUUCACUUGGCACUAAUCACAUGGGUGAAAUGGUAGGAUUGAAAAUAAACAAAUUGUUUUUGACAUAGUACAAAACUCUUUUAACUCUGAAGUUCUACCUACUACGGUCAAAUCUCCCCUGACUUGCUACCCCAUUUUCUAAUUUUGGUGAAUUGUAAGAAAUAAACCUUCAUAGCUUGCACAAGGGCAUCAAAUUUUUGGACCUAUAUUGACGAUAGUUUUGAACCAUUUGGUGA